rnacentral:tRNA from 1 species
GGGCGAUUGGCGCAGCUGGUUAGCGCGCUUCCCCGACACGGAAGAGGUCACUGGUUCGAAUCCAGUAUCGCCCA